rnacentral:rRNA from 1 species
GACGUAGGGCGCGAGCGUUGUCCGGAUUUAUUGGGCGUAAAGAGCUCGUAGGCGGCUCGUUGCGUCGGCUGUGAAAACCCGCAGCUCAACUGUGGGCUUGCAGCCGAUACGGGCGGGCUGGAGUUCGGUAGGGGAGACUGGAAUUCCUGGUGUAGCGGUGGAAUGCGCAGAUAUCAGGAGGAACACCAAUAGCGAAGGCAGCUCGCUGGGACGGUACUGACGCUGAGGUGCGAAAAGCGUGGGGGAGCGAACAGG